rnacentral:rRNA from 1 species
UUCAGAGAUGAGAAUGUGCCUUCGGGAACCGUGAGACAGGUGCUGCAUGGCUGUCGUCAGCUCGUGUUGUGAAAUGUUGGGUUAAGUCCCGCAACGAGCGCAACCCUUAUCCUUUGUUGCCAGCGGUCCGGCCGGGAACUCAAAGGAGACUGCCAGUGAUAAACUGGAGGAAGGUGGGGAUGACGUCAAGUCAUCAUGGCCCUUACGACCAGGGCUACACACGUGCUACAAUGGCGCAUACAAAGAGAAGCGACCUCGCGAGAGCAAGCGGACCUCAUAAAGUGCGUCGUAGUCCGGAUUGGAGUCUGCAACUCGACUCCAUGAAGUCGGAAUCGCUAGUAAUCGUGGAUCAGAAUGCCACGGUGAAUACGUUCCCGGGUCUUGU